rnacentral:rRNA from 1 species
GACGAACGCUGGCGGCGUGCUUAACACAUGCCAGUCGAGCGGAAAGGCCUGCUUUCCCUUGUGGAUUGCGGGUACUCGAGUGGCGAACGGGUGAGUAACACGUGAGUGAUCUGCCCCCAACUUGGGUAUAAGCCUGGGAAACUGGGUCUAAUUCCCGAUAGGACUGCAGGGUGGUGCCUGUGGUGGAAAACGAUUUUCUAGUGGUUGGGGAUGAGCUCGCGGCCUAUCAGCUUGUUGGUGGGGUAAUGGCCUACCAAGGCGGCGACGGGUAGCCGGCCUGAGAGGGUGGACGGCCACAUUGGGACUGAGAUACGGCCCAGACUCCUACGGGAGGCAGCAGUGGGGAAUAUUGCACAAUGGGCGGAAGCCUGAUGCAGCGACGCCGCGUGGGGGAUGACGGCCUUCGGGUUGUAAACUCCUUUCGACCGCGAGGAAGCCACCUGGUUGGAAGGGUGGUGACGGUAGUGGUAGAAGAAGCACCGGCUAACUACGUG